rnacentral:tRNA from 1 species
GAGGGUAUAGCUCAGUGGUAGAGUGCGUGCUUAGUGUGCACGAGGCCCUGGGUUCUAUCCCCAGUACCUCCG